UAAACUUUAGCCAUGUGUAGCUGAGUGGCUGUGUUCCAGUGAGCUUGCAAAGUACUUCCACAGAUUCUCCUGCACGGACUUUCAUACUUCCUGGACAUUGAAGUAUCUGUGGUGGAAUAGCUGUUGAAAUGAACAUCACAUCAAAAGAUCCUACUACACUAUGCACUUCCAUAUUCACAUGGAAUUUCCCAUUGGUGCAGAAAUUUGCCAUGAAAUCUUAAAAGAAGAUACCAUAAAAGAUCAUGUUGUAGUGAAGAUGCAGGAUGAAGGCUAUCAGAGGUUUUACAGUCGAAAGAUGACAUUACAUUAUCACAAACAAGGCAGAUCACCAGAGAUGCUUAAUUUCACGAGCCAAGGAUGCAUAGAACUUCCCUAGUAUCAGCCUGCUAACUCUGAAUCAAUUCAUUGUUAAUCGGGGGCUGCUUAUGAGCUGGGAAAACGAGAGCCACAAAGUGAAAAUAGUGCCACUCCUAUCAUUGCUCCUUGGCAAUGUGUGGUAGGAAAGCCUCACAUCAGUUCCAACCCAGCCUAGCCAGCAAAGCUGAAUGUCACUCAUGCCAUAAGAUGUACUAUUUUGACAUUGCUCCACAAUACGGAAACAGGAGAUAUUAACCUACAGCAAAGAAGUAUCACAACAAACCACUCCAACUCUGCAAGAAAUAAAUGCUAAUGAGCACCAAGACUUGGGGAUAGUGUCAUUUCAACGUUGACA